UACGGAGGGUGCAAGCGUUAUCCGGAUUCACUGGGUUUAAAGGGUGCGUAGGUGGGUUGGUAAGUCCGUGGUGAAAUCUCCGAGCUUAACUCGGAAACUGCCGUGGAUACUAUCAAUCUUGAAUACUGUGGAGGUAAGCGGAAUAUGUCAUGUAGCGGUGAAAUGCUUAGAUAUGACAUAGAACACCGAUAGCGGAGGCAGCUUGCUACACAGUCAUUGACACUGAGGCACGAAAGCGUGGGGAUCGAAACAAGG
rnacentral:rRNA from 1 species